GCCGGGAUGGCGGAACAGGAAUACGCUGUGGCCUUAAAAGUCACUGGGUCUUGCACCCAUGCCGGUUCGACCCCGGCUCCCGGCACCA
rnacentral:tRNA from 1 species